GCAGGCUGCAACCCGCCUGCAUGAAGUCGGAAUCGCUAGUAAUCGCGAGUCAGCAUAUCGCGGUGAAUACGUUCCCGGGUCUUGUACACACCGCCCGUCACACCAUGGGAGUCGGAAAUGCCCGAAGUCAGUGACCCAACCGUAAGGAGGGAGCUGCCGAAGGUGGAGCCGGUAACUGGGGUGAAGUCGUAACAAGGUACC
rnacentral:rRNA from 1 species